rnacentral:lncRNA from 1 species
UGCAUGAUCAAAGCCUUACUAUCCGGAUAAAUCACGUUUAUCAAUCAGAGGGAAAGCGCAUAUGCAUAAGGUGAUGAAAAUAACAUAAGGCUGAUGAGGGUUAAAGGUAUGGGACAGACAGUGCUUUUUAGGUCAAAGAAGGCUGUAAUCAGUGCAGGAUGAGAUUUGUAGGAUGAGUGGAAGAAACAGGACUUGAGCUGAGUAGGAGUUAGAUAAGGCAGGGUUGGGGAGGAUUAUUCAAGGGAACAGCCAGGAUAGUGUAUGCAAAAAGUAUCAAGAUAGGAAUGCACAUGGCCUGUUCCGAGAACAGUGAGUCCAUCACUGGUCACAGAAGUGUUUCUGUUCUUUGAGAAAGUAUCCAAAAAAAAUCAGAAUUAGUAACAGAGUUUGAUCUUAGCCUAUCAGAGCCCUGACAAAUAUUGUUAUAAGAAGUUAGGUUUUCCUCCUGAUGCUGCAGUAUAGGUGGAAGGUUGAUCAGGAGAGCCAGUUCCACUUCUUGACUUUGAAGGGAACAGUACCAAGAGUUCCUGAACACCAAAUUUCUGGAGGAGCAUCGCAUUCCUGCACCUAGGAUGGUGCUUGUGGCUGGGGAACUGGAUCAAGAUGUCUAGGGACCCAAUCUUUGUCCUCUGCUAAGACUGUAAGUUACUCUGAUAAUGAAAUUCUGAUGGAAAGGGGCUGCUUCUCCAGCAACCUCAAGUUAAUUCCUUUCUAAAAAGAGCCAAACCCUUCAAGAAGAAUUAAAUCUGCAUAGUGUGGGAUUUUUUUGGGGGGGUGGGGUGAGGAAGCAGGGAGGGAAUUGGGAUAUACGGAAAUAUACAGGUAGACCCUCUAGCAAUUCCAACCUUCUGUGGGAGUUCCAGUUCUUAGGGUAGCACUAUAAAAUGAGGCCAAUAUAGGUCUCUUGGGUAGAAAGUGGGAGUCUUCUCAGGGAAGGAUAUUCUUGAUUGUUAUGGGCUCUGGUGGGUUCUUUGUGUUUCCUGCAUUUUCUCUGUGGGAUGAAAAAGAAAAAGCUGUCCUGUAUCCAAUAUUAUCACUUUGAGCCCUGGCAUGGGAGUUAAGAUUCUUUUGCACAAAUCUGUGGAGACCCAAGUAAGGAUUAUAUUUUGAGAUUCCCAGAAGAUAUUCUGGGUGGUGACAAAAUAAGGCAAAGAUACAUGAUUUAGGCGCCGUCCCCCGAGAUUGGACCUGAUCCCUAUUAACUCCAGAAAUUGGGGGCGGCUUGGACCCUCAAUGAUACACAAUUUCCAUAAAACUAAAUAGUUCCCUCUUUGAAGGAGCAUGUCUGUCUAAGAUUCCCUGACUUAAAAUUUCAGCAGUCUGGGUGAUUUUUUUUUUCUAACUCACUUGCUACAAUUUAGAUUCCCACUUCUGUGGUGUACAAGAGUACAACCAAGAAUGAGAUUACUAGAGGUAGAGUAAAUAGGAUAGUCCAAGCAGAUAAUUAU